CACUGCUCUGACGGAUGCUUUUAUUAGACCAAGCCGCUGAGGACUUGAGGGUUCGCUCUCCUGUCUGACUCGUGUAAUGGUGACUCUGGAUAACCAAUUCUGACAAGCGCACGUACUUCUCUUCUGAGCGAGACGGCGCUGCCACUUUCGAGUGUCUGCCUUAUCAGCUAUCAACCGUUCGUUAUGCGCGACCGAUGGCUUUGACGGGUAACGGGGAAUCAGGGUUCGAUUCCGGAGAGGCAGCCUGAGAGACGGCUACCACGUCCAAGGACGGCAGCAGGCACGCAAAUUACCCAAUCCCAGCAAAUGGGGGAGGUAGUGACGAAAUCUAACGAUGCGGGCGCCCUUUCUGGGGCCCCGCAAUCGGAAUGGGCACUUUCUAAACAACCUGUUGAGAACCUACUGAAGGGCAAGUCUGGUGCCAGCAGCCGCGGUAAUUCCAGCUUCAGCAGCAUCUAUUAAAGUUGCUGCGGUUAAAAGGCUCGCAGUUGAAUGUCUGUAUCGAGCGCAGGUCAGGUGGACGUUGGGGCGUGGAAGUACGGGCAGUUGGAUGUCCGUGGGGCCUUCGUGCUCAACGGCUCCUUCGGCUUUUCCACACACCCCCGUCCGUGACAAGCCUCCUCGCUCGGGUACAUAACGGGAAUCGGUCAAACGGAGUGUGGUUGGAGGUUGGGGUGCGUGGCUUCGGUUGCGUGCUUCUUCUUUCGGCUGCGUUAAGCUCCAUCGGUUUCACGGUCACCUUGAGUAAAUCAGAGUGCUCAAAGCAGUCGUAGGGGCCUUGCGCCCUGUGAACAGUCUUGACGGACUGACUUGGUUUUGCAUGGCAUGUCGGAAGACGACGUCGUGUGCUGGCUCAGAGGAUAAAUCAGUGGUACAAGCCAGCCUCGACGUAAUGAUUAAAAGGGACGGUCGAGGGCAUUGGUAUUGCGAGGCGAGAGGUGAAAUUCUGUGACCCCCGCAAGACCUCCUGAAGCGAAAGCGUCUGCCAAGGACGUUUU
rnacentral:rRNA from 1 species